UACGUAGGGGGCAAGCGUUGUCCGGAAUCAUUGGGCGUAAAGGGCGCGUAGGCGGCUUGAUAAGCGUGCGGUGAAAGCCCGGGGCUCAACCCCGGGUCGGCCGUGCGAACUGUCGAGCUGGAGCACUGUAGAGGCAGGUGGAAUUCCGGGUGUAGCGGUGGAAUGCGUAGAGAUCCGGAAGAACACCGGUGGCGAAGGCGGCCUGCUGGGCAGUGGCUGACGCUGAGGCGCGACAGCGUGGGGAGCAAACAGG
rnacentral:rRNA from 1 species